UAUAAUAGCAUUUAAUAAGCAUUAAUAAAGGUAACAUUCGCCCCAAGAGCUGAACAUUGGCUGAUAAAGAGAGUGUGUGUUACCUAUUGUGCAGCUCAAACAACAAAUAAGCACCCUUUUUACGCUUUUAUGCAGUUAAAAGAGCACGAGCGGCGAAAUUGUGAAUAAAUAUUACUCCAUAUAUUCUAUAACAUAACACUAUCUCGAUAAUAUUCUGCAGCAGUGUUAUAUUUGUGCACAAAUAUCAUCACCAUCAUACAAUGUGACAUGUGUUAUGUACUUAACUGAAGUGCAAAAAGUUAAUUCAUUUUCGGGUAAUUCCCAAGGGGACUUAUUCGACAUUUGCACUUCAAGUGCAAAUGUAUUCUGCUCUCAGCAAGAGCAACAAGCAGCAGAGCAGCUGGCACAAGUGAUCAGCUCGAAAACCAUGAAGACUCUGAUGGCUAAUCAAGCUUUAAUUUUAGAUAAAUAAAUACCAUUUUUAAGCAAU